AUUUUAUGGGUUUUUAUGCGUUCCUUCUUCCCCAAAAUCAGCCCUUGCCUCUUUCGCUGGAGACGGCAAUUGAUGGAAAUCCUAUCAAUAAAUGAGAGGCAUAGGCAUCGCCUCUCUAUCCAAUCAGUCUUCCCUGCCUCCCCAACAAACUCUUGAUACGAAAUAAACCUCCCGCCAUAGAGAAGAAAGAGAUCUAAAGUCCAGUCCCCUCGAGCACCCUUCCUUUGAACCGGAACUGGUCGAGAGAGAUGCCUCUUCCUUCCUUCGUCGUCGUCCACACCCACGCCCCUUCUUCUCUCCUCAUACGUCAGAUUAUCUCUACCCAAAACAAAUCGUUCGAUAUUUGAGCAAACCCAUUUUCUCGGCCCCCUGUACUCUGUUUUAGAUCAAUAUUCUAUUGACAUGGUCUCUCAACAUCACAACAGCGCAAGAGUUGUUUGUGAUAUGGUCUUUCUUAUUUUUCUAAUAUUAUUCAUUCAUAGUUGUUCAAUUUUUAGAGAGAGAUAGAGAAUGGUGGGACGAGGGAAGAAGAAAGAGAGGCCGAAGAGAAGGGGUUGGCCAGCAGCAAGGAAAGUGAGGUGUCUACCGUCGCGAGGUGGGGUAACUGUUGAUAUUCUUUUUAUGAUUAAUUUUAGUUUUAUAAUUAUUAAUUAUUAUUUAAAAUUAAUAAAGUACCUUUAAUUAUGAUUAAAUGAAAAGACACUAACGGAUUGUAAGAAGAUGGUGAGCACCCACCCAAGUUAAUAACAGUGAGCAAAAUUGCUCCAGUUUCAAAAAGUAAUUCAUUGAUUAGUAGAUUUGCAAAUGAAAAAUCAAUUGAGCAAAAGACAAAAAGACAGCAGUUGAUCACUAGUUCCCGACUUUUCCCCUUAUUUGAUAGAAAAAGAGAACUGUUUUACAAUAAUGUAAGAAUUAAAAAGUGUGUAAGGAACGAGAAAUUUUCCGAGAACUCCAUCUCAUACAUGACAGGUGGAGAUCUUGUUGUCCAUCAAAUUCCCCACCCUUCUCACCAACCUAAAAUCGACAGCACUGCUUCGUCUCGUCCUUCAUCGCCUGCUCUCUGUCAAGUCCUUGGUCGAGUUGUCCACCAUGCACAACACCAACAAGGGUUUGAAUCCAGCAAAGCAAAAGGGUUUAGUAUGUUUAGGAGUUGGGUGAAUCUAGGAAUCUACAAAGAAAGAAGAUGAGAAGGGCGAAUCUUCGAAUUUACCAAAGAAUAAGAUGAACAGAUUAAGAAAUUGAAGGAGUUAAAGCUUUUUUUGUUCUUUUUCCAACAAUUGAAAUGUUUUAUUAAUAGGUUUUAUCUCGAACAAACAAAAAAAAGGCAAGAAAUUUAAUAGAAAAUAGAUUUGCCACAUGCUAGAUGUUGAUUGGGUAGUUGUUGACCCUAGAAACUACAAAGCCUACGUGGCGCGCAGGCCGAGCUCGACCAAUAAGGAUUGGGAAACCUUUCUCGAUCGAGACUUGGAUAGGUAAUCAACCGUCCUCGCCGCAGUGCUGUUGAUGCCAACGGAAGAUGCUGUGAGAUCGGCUGAUUCUACGGAGAUAGAGCUAUCUAUGCCGACUUAAGAUAUCACCGGUUGCUUUCACAGUGCUGUUGAUGCCAACGAAAGAUGUGUCAGCGAAAAAGAAGAAGAAAAAAUCUCAAGUUGUUGAGAGUUUGCGCAAGGCAAUUUUGUAUUGAUUUGCAGGCCUUUGAAUGACGCACAACUUCCCCUAUUUAUAGUACUGGAUCUUGAAUUCGAGUUAAAAUCCUACUCGGACUAGGUCUUCCUCUCCGGAUCAACACCACCUCGACCAGUCCUAUUUUCACUAGGAUUGUGAACCUAGUCCUUAACUGAGCCAGAUUCGCUUCUGGGUUACUGAUCCUGCCGAGACUCCCUAUUGUACUAGGACUCGACUUGCGUUAUGAUCUAACCGAGCUAGGCUUGGAAGCUCACGAGCUGAACGAUCCAUGGCCUUCUCGCCGCACGGCCUCCCGGGCCGAGAAUGAUCCUACCUUCGGCCCAAACUAUUAUUUUGGGCCCAAACAUUGCCCCCUCGCUUCUGAGGUCCUCGGCCUGAAUUCUUCGGCCGAGUUUCGGCCUUGAAGAAGCGAAUCUACCACUCAGAACCCUAGUGCCCGAGUUCCAAGGCGCAUUUAUUGAACAUGAUUGCACUAUCUUGAUCCUGCUAACCAAACUCGCCACGUGGCGUCCUCUAACACGGCUAAUCUUUAAUAAUGACGUCUAAGGCGUGCGGCUGCCUGAACCGUCCUGCCAUCAUGACCUUAUGGCUGAACUUAACCACUACCUCAAUCCGCGAGCCACUACCUCAAUCCGUGAGUCACUUGUCAUCGUGCAGGCGUCGAAACGUCUUCCGCCAUUAAUUUCGCCGUCACACGCAAUCGUGCGCCCCCAAAACCUAAGACCUUCGGUCUUCUCAACUGCAUUUCCCAAAUGUUCAUCAUGAUCAGCGAUUCCUUCGGUCGAUUUUGCCCUCUGUUUUGAAUUUCAAACGAUUGCCCUUCCUGCCAAAAUCCUAUAAAUACUGAAAUCCCUCAUUCAUACUUUACGCUUCCAAAAUCACUCCGAAAUUUCUUGCCCUUGUUCUCCAGCACAUUUCUCAUUCCCAGGUAUUCAUCUUCAAAUCCCCCAACCCAGAAAACUUUUUACACCGUGCUUCCUUCCUACAAUGGCGUCCUUCAUCUCUAAGCUUUCCAGGGAAUGUGACCAGCAUCAGAAAAUUCUUGAUCGGAGCUUGAUCAAAACCAUACGGUUUGAAAGUGACAUGAGCACUUCCCACCAAAUCUUGGGUCCCCUUUUCAAGGCGACAGUACCGUCGACCAUUACUGGCAUUCUCCAGGAACACUGCCUAACAUCCUUGCUCCAAGGGUUUGAAUGGUCGAGAUGGGAUGCGGCGAAACCCCAAGGCUCCUGGCCCUCGACGAUCACAACCUGGGCAGCCUGGGUUGUUCGAAUGGAAAGGCUCUAAUGCGAGCAAUGGAAGGCCCUCGGCAUCUACGACGCCAUCCUCAUCUCGUCAAUGGAUAUCGUUCCCGAUAAGGAGCUUCUCCUAGCCACCUUGUGCUUCUGGUGCUCGGCCACCAACAUCAUGGUUCUUCCUCUUGGUCCCAUCGGCCCCACCAUUCUUGAUGUCAUCGCCAUUUUGGGCACUUCGGCAACUGGGAUCCCCAUCGAUGCGGCCCUCUCUGGGUACCCGUCGAAUAUUGACCUGAAGACGCUUUUUGAUCGACGGGCUUUUGAGACGUUGAACUAUGAAGGUCAAAUCCCGUCGAAAGAAGACAUUCAGAAGCUCCACAAGAACUUCUUCAAUUACAACACCCUCUAUCUCCAUUUCGCCGGCCGAGGAGAAGAGGACCUGCGAGAAGGAGAACAUGAAGCUUUCCUCUUCUAUUGGUACAACAAGUACAUUUGUUGUACCAAGUCGAACAAAUGCCUGGUUAAGAACAUGCCGGUAGCCGAUGCCCUGGCUAGUGGUCACGUCCUGUCACUGAGCUCCAACAUUCUCACCCAUCUCUUCCCCUGCCUGGCCGAGGCGACCCUUCACAAAAUCGACCCACACCAGAAUGGUCCCCUCUGGGUCUUCCAACUCUGGUUACAAGUUUACUUUGCCUCCCUUCGGCCGGCCAUAGCUGAUUUCUCACCAACGGAGGCGCUUGGACCUCAGCUGGCCUCCCGACCGACACCCCCUCACCAAGCCGAAUAAGUAUUUAGGUACCUCUUCGCUCUUGAUGACCUCUCCAACGACGAAUUCCUGAUAUGUCGUCGUCGAAACUAUCAUUCCUCCAUCAGGCUACCUACAUCCAUGUGGGGCGCGGGGGAAGAUGCCCACCUUCGUCAGUCCUGGGGGUCGUUCGUGCUCACUCGCGACCUUCCUCUCGGCUGUGAUGGGAAACGAGCGGGUUGGGAAGUGUACCAUCCUAACUUCCUUGUUCGACAGCUCGGCUAUCUCCAAGGCUGCCCGGUCCCCUUUCUCUCCUCCCGAACAGUCAUAAGCCGUGGACGUGAACCCCGUUCCUCGGAGAAGGAAUGCAAAACUGCCGCGAGGGAGUUCCAAGAGCAAUACCAAAAAUUCCGCCUUCGACCGGCCACCCCAGAAACUCUUUGCACUGACACCUUCGGUGAUUGGUGGGAAGAUUAUACCCAGGAGUUCUUUGGUGCUCCGGUCGAAGGUGUGUUGAACAAACUCUUCGGUGAACGACCUAAGAAGGCCUCGGCCCCCCAAGCUCAAGGUAACUGUUCAUUUCUCCCCUUUUCCUUCAACUUUGCAUAUUGAUUUGCCUUGCUGAUUUGCUUUUAUCCUCUCACGUAGUCGGCCAUUGAGAAAAGUGGAAGCAGUUGCCGCGGCUACGGCCGAGAAAAAAUCGGUCGUGGCUAAGAAGGAUAAGACUACUGGUCGGGCCGUGCUGACCAAACGGCCUCGCCAAGAGGCCGAGCUGGCUGUCGAACCUCCACCGCCUGCCAAGCGGGUAAAAAAGCUGGCAAAGAAGGGCGCACGGGAGAUCCACGUCAUCUCCAGUCAAACUAUGGGGGCGACGACUCCCAGUGUUUCCCCUUCUCCUGCCGUCGGCCAACCCUUGGUCGAGAAACAACCAGCUUCGGCCGUAGAGACAGUUCAAGCACGGCCUGUUUCUGGGGCCGGUACACCAGUUGUGCCCCCCUCUGUCGAGGAGGCACCUGUUCCGAAAAAGGCAGUUUCUACGACCGAGGGAACUUCCCCUGAAAAUCCAAAGCCCUCGGUCUUCGUUCUGGAAGAGAGUGAGGGGAGCGACGAGGUCCCGCUGGCAAAUUGUCCUCAUACUCGCCGACAACCUCUUCCAAUGCCCGAGAUGGCGGUUCAAGCCGGCCCCUCCACGGCUGAUCGUGGCAAGCGUCCGGUCGAGGAACCAACAGCGGUGGCCGAACCCCCUGCUCCUUCUCAGGACCAGGAUGUCCCUCCCUCAUCCGAAGCGGCUGUCCCGGUCGGCCCCUCCACAGCCGACCGUGGCAAACGACCGGCCGAGGAACCCGAUGCAACGGCGGAAACGCCCGUUCAUCCUCAAGACCAGGGCUUCCACAUUCCUCCGUAGGAGGUUACUUCGGCCUUCGUAAGUAUCCUCUAACGUCUUUCCUUGAUUGCUUUUCUGCUUUAGAAUUCUAAACGAGGAAAAUACUAAAUGUCAGGUGCCUGUACACUCAUUUCACCGAAAUUCUACGCGCCGAAGGGCGUUAUCUAUAUUUCUUGGCCGCCUCAGUGGCCAUCGAACGUAGAUAACCUCCAUCGGCCGCGUGAACUGAGAAGCAAUCUAAGACACUGGGCUCAGCCAUUGAGUUCUUUGGGUUCGAGCAACGAUCCUGGAGACAUGGCUGAGGUCUCCUCUCGGCAGGUUAAAAAAAAUGAAACCUUCUUGCUAUCCUUGUCAUGACUUCUUUUGAGCUUAACCUAAUUUGUGUGUGCAGGCUUCGUGGGAGGUCGAAUUCAAAGCCAUCCUCUCCAGCAUAACUACCGGGUCUGGUCAUUCGGCCGCCAUGACUGAAGCUGCCGAUUCAACCGCUUUGUCUCAGUUGCGAGAAGUCUUGUCGCUUUCGGCAUCGCAAGUACUCGAGCGCAACGGUCUUGAUUUGCUUGGCGCAUAUCUGAACGACCUCGGAGCUGACGGUCGUCUAAGCGGAGAUGCUAUCGUUCGGGCAUCGUUGGCCUUGGAGCGUGUUCGGGAGACAUUUAGUAUCUUCCAGACUGCUCUAAAGGCCAAACAAGACCUGCAAGCUGCCACGGCCGUCCAAGACACUCUCCGUCCGAAAAUCGACACCUUAAAAGUAAAAGGAGAAGCAUUGGCCGAGCUCGACCGUCAAAUGGCGGAACUAGCGAAACGUAGGUCGGCCAUUGCCUCCGAUCUUGCUAAGGACUUCGAGUCAGGCGAAAAAGAUUACCUGACCGAGUAUGCGGCGACCACAAAACGGGUCGAGCGGUUGAAGCUGGACAAGAAGAAUCGACAAGCCGAUGUCAUCAUGGGCGAGGUGCGGUGGUUGGAGUUGAAGGCCCUGCUCGGCACUCUUCUACCCUCUUCCCCUUGAAUGUACUUGAAUGUAAACCGAUCGACUUACUUAUUUUGUACAUGUUUAUCAAUCUUAAUGAAAUGGUUUUUUAUUCCCACAUUUCCCACGUGACCAGGUAGUAUUUUUUCAAAAACUUCCCGUUGAUUGGUAAUCUGUGAACCAAACCGGUCCGGUCUUUAAGAUGAUAUGCCCCUUUUUCGUAUACUUUAUGUAUAACGAAUGGUCCUUCCCAAUUUGGCGACCACUUGCCGAACCUAGGAUCUUUUAGUCCUACGGGUAACACCGUUUGCCAAACCAAUUCACCUUCGCCGAAUGUUUUCCGUCGCACCUUUUGAUUAUAUGCUCGUUCGGCAAUCCGUUUUUGUGCCACCAGUAAGUUGUAAGCGUCAAGUCGCACUUCUUCCAAAUCUUCUAAUUCUUGUCUCAUGGACUGAUUAUAUUCGGCGCUAAACAAACUACUUUGUUCAAUCAAUCGCAACGAAUUUAUACUUAACUCGACUGGCAACAUUGCAUCGUGUCCGUAUGUUAAUGCGUAUGGGGUUGUUGCAGUCGUCGAUCGGGGCGACGUUCGGUAUGCCCAUAAUGCCUCGUUCAACUUCAAAUGCCACAUGCCAGGCCUUUCUUUUAUUAUUUUUUCGAGGAUGCCGAUCAACACUUUAUUACCUGCCUCGGCCUGCCCAUUCGCCUGUGGAUAAUAUGGUGUGGACUGUUCCAGCCGAAUUUUCAAAUUUGCCGUGUACUCUUUAAACCUUUCGGCUGUGAAGAUUGUUCCAUUAUCGGUUAUGAUCGUUUUCGGUACGCCAAAUUGGGUCACAAUGUGUUCCUCCACGAAGUCGCAAACUUCUUUAGAUGUUAACUCGGCAUAUGAUUUUGCUUCGACCCACUUAGUAAAGUAAUCAGUUGCGACUAUUAUCCAUGCAUGCUUAGCAGCUCCAGAAGAUGGCGUGAUUUUGCCGAUUACGUCCAUGGCCCAUCCUCUAAACGGCCAUGGCUUAAUGACCGAAUGCAGUGAUUCGGCCGGGACCCUUUGUAUAGGCCCGUGGAUUUGGCACUGUACGCAUCCUCAUGCAAACUCGAUACAAUCCUUUAGUAUUCUCGGCCAAAAAUAGCCGUGCCGUCGAAGUAACCAUCGCAUUUUCCGUCCGGAUUGAUGAGCUCCGCAUACCCCUUCAUGGACUUCUGUAAUCGCCCGAGCACUCUCUUGGGGGCCGAGGCAUAGCAAUAACAAACCAUCUUCACCUUUUCGGUAUAACUCGUUUUGGUACGUGACAUAGUUCGUGGCGUGAACUCGUGCCCUGCGACUAUGUUUUCCAUUUGGAUUAUCAAGGUACUGCAUAAUGGAUGUUCUCCAAUCAUCUGGUAUUACCUCGGCUGUACAAAUUUCUAUAGAAUCCUGCUGAUCUAACAAGGAAGGUAAGGACAUGACCCUGGUGCGUAUCACGUUGUCGCGUCGGAGGAUUUGCUGGUUAACCAAGGCCGGGUAUAACAGUCGUAACACCGGUAUCUCUCGGCCUAACUUGCCCACCAGGAGUUGUGCGUCGGAGGCAAUUUGAGCUAAUUCAUUUACGUCGGUAUUAUGACUCCGGGAAAUAUGUUUAAAUGUAAUACCGUCGAAGGAUUCGGCUAAAUAGCUGGCGACCAUGUGGUAAGGUGCCAAGGUACAACUCAUGCAACGAAAAGAACCAUUAAGUUGGUUAAUCACAAGUUCGGAGUCGCCGAGGACGAGGGCGCGGGUCGCCCGCAGGUCAUGAAGGAUUCCAAGGCCAACGAGUAGGGCUUCGUAUUCAGCUUGAUUGUUGGUGCAUUCAAAAUCCAACUUAAGCGAAAAUAGCUAGCGAUCGUGGUUUGGGGAUUGAAUGAAGAUUCCCACGCCCGCCGAAGACGACGUACUGGAGCUGUCAAAAUACAUCGUCCAAUGGUUGUCGCGCGUCUGAACCAUGCCGAUUUCAACGUCGUUGCCCCCAAAACCAUAUGGGGAGGGAUGUUGAGCAAGGAAAUCAGCCAGUGCCUGGCCCUUGACAGCUUUCUGGGCUACGUACUGCAAGCUAAAUUUAGACAGUGCCAUUGUCCAUUUCCCUAUGCGGCCCUUUACGAUUGGUUGGGUGAGCAUGUAGCGGAUGACGUCGGUCUGAGCAAUGACUUGGGUGACUGAUGGGAGCAUAUAAUGCCGAAGCUUGGAAGCGGCGAAAAAUACGGCCAGGCACAAGUUCUCGACGGCGGAAUAAUUGAUCUCUGGUUGACUGAGAUUGCGGCUGAGAUAAAAGAUAGCCUGCUCCCGUCCGGCGUCGUUGUCUUGCGCGAGGAGGCAGCCGAUGGACUCUUCGGCCGCCGAGAUAUAGAGAUUAAGAGGCUUACCGCGCCGAGGAGGGACCAGGACAGGUGGGUUCAUAAGGGAGACUUUGAUUUGCGUAAACGCCGCCUGAUGCUCGUCGUUCCACACGAAUUUAUCUGAGUCCUUGAGUUUCAAAAACGUGGAGAACGCUUUCAUUUUACCUGCCGAGUUAGCAAUAAAUCGACGGAGGAAAUUGAUCUGUCCGAGUAAGGACUGGAGUUGUUUCUUCGUCGUUGGGGGUGGGGCAUUGAUGAUUGCACGUGCCUUAUUCGUAUUGACUUCAAUCCCCCGGUGAUGCACGAGGAAACCAAGAAAAUUCCCGGCCGACACGCCGAAGGCACAUUUGGCAUGAUUCAUCUUGAGGUUGUGCCGGCGCAUACGGAGGAAAGCCUGUCGGAGAUCAUCCAGAUGUGUCCGUCGGCGUUAAGAUUUGAUGACAACAUCGUCGAUAUAAACUUCGACGAUGGUUCCAAUUAAAUCAUGAAAGAUGGUGUUCAUCGCCCUUUGGUAUGUGGCGCCGGCAUUUUUGAGGCCGAAUGGCAUAACAACCUAUUCGUAAGUGCCGAGUGCCCCCGGGCAACGGAAAGCAGUUUUGUGCACAUCGGCUUCGGCAAUGAAUAUUUGGUUGUACCCGGCGUGUCCAUCCAUAAAGGAUAAGAUCGCAUGAUUCACCGCAGCAUCGAUUAACAGGUCUGAAAUCGGCAUUGGAUACUCAUCUUUGGGAGUUGCCAAAUUCAGAUUUCUAAAAUCGAUGCAGAUGCGUAGUGCACCAUUUUUCUUUAAAACAAGCACGAUAUUUGCCAACCAUUCAACAUAUCGAGCUGUUCGAAUGAACCCGGCUUUUAAAAGCCGAACCAAUUCGUCCUUGAUGCCGAGUUGCACUUCGGUCGAGAAUCGACGAGGUGGCUGACGGAAAGGUUUACAUCCAGGCUUAAUACGUAAUUCAUGCUCGACCAGAGUACGAUCUAAGCCGGGCAUUUCAUGAUAGCUCCAAGCAAAACAAUCUUUGAACUCCGUAAGCAAGGCACGAAACUCGUCCUUCAUUUGUUGGGGAAGUAAAGCACUAACAAACAGAGGCCGUGGGUCAUCGGCCGUCCCAACAUUAAUCUCUUCCACGGGGUCCUUAACUUGGGGCCGAUGAUCUUCGAGCUUGGCCGGGGCGGCGUGAAUUUUAUCCAGAGAUAAGACAGGAUCAUUAUCUCAUUCGGCAAGAAACUCGACGAGGUUAACGCCCGAAUUUGGUUGUUUAGAUAUAGUAUACCAAUGGCCAACAGUCGUUCCAUAGUAGAUGAAACCGCGGCCCUACGUGUUUCCCGAUCGGUGUCAAACAUCAGCUUCGGGGAGGAAAUUGGCUAAUCCGAGUCUCGUCGAAUCCUGCUGGACAGUCUCGGCGCCAACCUCGAUAGCUUUCUGAACCGAAAUCCGAGUCGGCCGUCAUUCUUUAUUGAAGCCUUGCAAAGUAAUGUAGCCAACGUGGUCAUCAUAAUACCGUGCUUGGAUCAUGUUAGCUUCGAAGGGCUGGCUAUCGGCCGGGUGAACAGUAACCGAGUUGCCGUCCCAAAUGACAAGCACUUGAUACAAUGAGGAAGGAAUACAGCUGGUUUGAUGAAUCCAAUCUCGACCGAGCAGUGCAUUAUACUCAGUUUUGGAAUCAACCACGAAAAAGGCGGUCAUGUGAGUGUGACCGGCAAUAUUCACAGUUAACGGAAGUACAUCUUUGGUUUAAGAUUUGUUGCCGACGAAACUACUCAUUGUGAUCCCUGACGGAAUAAGUUCGUCAUUCGAGCGACGUAAGGCCUUCAUGAUGUUCAGAGGCAUGAUAUUGACGGUAGCUCCACAGUCGACAAAAACUUUAGAAACUGGAUACCCCUCGAUAUGGGCCGUCACAUACAAAGGCUUUAAAUGGUGAAGUUUGGCCGAUGAUGAACGAGGAAGCAAUUCGGCCAAAGCCGCCUUUAGACUAUCAUCGUUUGUCGUUGACUCAACUUCAGUAACAGAUACAAAAUCAACAUGGCCGGCUUCUUUGGUGACUACAUCACCAUCGAGGAAAUUCGGUUGGGUCGUGCUUGAUUGAAAAUCAGCAGGUAACACAUGGACCAUACUGAUUUCCAUGUUAUCCAGGACUGACGGGCCUAUCGGGUUAGGACCCUCCUCACUAGCCUCAUCUCUUGUCUGGUCGGCGACCGCGGACUCUGUUGCUGUCAAAGUUGGAAACGAGACUCUUCUGUUCUUUCUUCGAUGGUUUGAUCCUGCGGUGCUGCUUCGGCAACUUGUUGGUUCUGCGUAACUACCUCAGGUGAGGUUGAGAUCGACAGUGUGCUUGGGGUCAGGACCUGCUCCUGGUAGUGUAGCCAGGCAUCCCUGGUGUCGAGAUAAGCAUCCAGACGUGCAACGCGUGCUAUUUCAUCGGUCGUAAGGCCGAAGAGCGAAACAGCCGAAAAUACUUCGAAGUGAUAUCGUAAAUACUGAAGGUCCUCCAUCGAAAAAGGAAGGUCGGCUGCAUCGAUAUCAGUGUAUGGGUCGACUUCAAAUCCAAGGACGCGAGCUUCUUGUAUGUGCUGGAACCUUGCUUUCAAUCCUGGGUCUGAGGUUUUCUGGAUAAUUCGCUCGGCAUCAGGACAAGUCAGGACUAGAUCAAUGGUGUCCUGGCAUGCCUUCGGCAAACCAUACAGAUCGUUGGCCGAAUGUUGCUUAUGAAAUUCACGCAUAUAUUCCAAAGCCUCCCCAAGGAACGGGGGAUGCAAGUUUCGUCGAAUUUUGAUCAAAGGUUCUUGUGUAGCCGGCGGGGCUAAUUUACUUUCGGCCUCUUGCCUGAAAUGUUCAAGGCGGGCCUUCAUCUCCCCUGGUCGAAGAAGAAGUUUGAUCUGUUUAUCAGCCUCUUCAAACGUGGUUUCGACAUCUUGGUCGACCAGCCGUUUCCCUUGAACCAACUCUGUCAUAAUAGCUGGAGGUGGUCGCUUAUCAUCAGUAGCAAUUGUGUCCUUCGACCGCCAUUUAGGGACCGAAGUUUCUUGGGCCGCCCGUCGGCGGGCCAUGCAAUCUAUCCUUUGGUGCCUAAGUUUCUGGGAUUUGGACAGUGCGGUGUAGACGCCUUUCGAAGAAUGAUAUGUAUACCAACGUUGAUCUCUAGGCUCGGGAGGUUUGAAGGUUUUUUGGCUCCGCGAUGAUUCUGAACUGCUAGAAUUACGUUUAUAGUAAUCAUCGUCAUAGAAUGAAGCAUCAAAAUCGAGGCACCGCCGGACCGGGGGUGUCUCUUCCAUCCGUACUUUAGGACCGAGCCUGUAAAAAACCCCUUGAUGCUGGCCUACGUUGGCUACCUUUUGUCGGGUUGUGGCCAUAGGUCGUUCUGUUAUAAGCGAAGAGGACUUUUCCUCUAGCUCACUGUCGACCUUUGCUCUACAUUUACUGCACAAAACCACCGUCCCACUGUCUUCAUCGGUGCUAUAAUCCAUCAUAGGUUUGACAACAGCGGGUCCCGUCAACGUCGUAGGUGGUUCGUUUGAACGAAAAUCGACCAUGAACCGUGGUCGAGAAUUCUGAUUCCGCGGGCAUUGCGUCGCAACAACUUCGGCCUUUCCUUUCCCUUUGUCCUUAGGUAGGCAUGCAUCGACCAUAUUUACUGUUGCCGUGGGGAACGGAUCAGUAUCAACACUCAUCUUCUUCUCUGGAAAUUUCAGUUUGCCAUUAUCAAUCCAGCUUUGGACGUUGUCGUGAAACACGACGCAAUUGUUUGUCGUAUGUUUGCUUGAAUUGUGGUAUUUGCAAUACACUUUUCCUUUAAGUUCUUCGGCCUUGGGAAUGUUGUGACCAGGCCGAAGCUUGAUGAUUCUUGCUGAUAACAGUUGGUCAAAAUUUACGUCAGCCUUUGUAAUAUCAAAAGUAUAAACUUAUGACGGUUUCAAUGUUCCUUCAGUGGCCGAGCGGCUUUUGACUUCCCUAGAGUCAACUUGAGUCAAUGCCUUGCAAACGUAUGGCUUAUCUAUCACUAUCUCAGCGGCAUCCACACUAACGCAUUCAUCCUCGGUUGAUGCAUAAUUGACAGUAGGAUUCUUGUAAAUCGUCCCCCGAGUUGGAGCUUUCGAAGUCUUUUCCUCGCGGAGCAAAUAAUCAUACUGUUCGACAUGUUGGGCUAAUUCGUACAUAUCCCGAAAGUUUGCCCCCAAGAAUUUCUUUUUGUAUUCGACGUCGAGGUCGUUCAAAGCAAGCAUGACAAAUUCGACUUCGGGUAAAGGCACUUGGCACCAAUUCCUGGCUGAUUUGAACCUGGUAAGAUAAUCCAUUGGUGACUCAUCAGAUGCGUGAGCCAUCCUUGCUAAUGAAGAAACUGACAUCUCCAUUCCUGGCCGAUAAAACUGCUCAUGGAAUUUCUCGACCAACUCCUCCCAAUUUUGGACGGAAUUAGGAGGGAGAUUGAUAUACCAGGCAAAUGCUGAGCCGGUCAAUGAGAAAUUGAACAGCCGUAAUUUAUGGAAAUCACUAUUAACAUCCCCGCAUUGUGCGGUGAAAUGAGCCACAUGCUCCAACGAAGACAGGGACGAUUCACCGGCAAAAAGGCUGAAAUCUGGGAUUUUGAAACCCUUCGGGUAUCCGAACGUUUCCACGUAAGCUGGGUACGGAUGAAUAAACUUAGGAAACUUCGGCCCUUUCUUCAUGGCCGAGUCGAUCAUUCGCUGAACUUCGGUCAUAUCAACAGGUGUUGCUUCGACCCUCUGGUCGGUUCCGUCUGACCUACUAUUCGACCCUCCUCCUUUUUCCAAGUCAAUUGGUUUGAGCCGAGUAGGAAUAGGCUCGGCCGGUACAAUUGGUAACGGAUUGUUUCCUGGUGGUAAGUGCUGGAGAAGAUCGAAAGGCCUGCUGUCACUGACUUUACUAACCAGCAUUUCGAGCAGUCUAGUUUGUUGCUCAUUGGAAAUGAGUAUCACGUCAUGCAGCUUGUCAAUGCCUCGACUAAACGUCUGUUCGACUGGCCGAGACUGCUCGUCUAGUCGCUUUCGAAGAAACGACCUUGUUGGUGGGUCAGAUCCUUCACCACCAUCCUCGUCGCACUUCUCUACUAUCCCUUCAUUGAGAACGCAGGUGUUUCUGUUAGGGAUUUCUAGAUCGCGGAGUUGACCGCCGAGAUUAACUUCUCUCUCUUGGCGAGUCGCGCUUGUGGACUCAGGUGUCACGGCGUUAAGGGGAUUCUGCGCCUGUGGUACACUUUGUCCUAUGCUCUGAUUCGGAAAAUCAGCUGUCGACUUUCCCAUAGCUGUUUUCUUUUUUACCGAUCAUUUUUUAAUUGGCAUGAACUUCGUAGUUUAGCACUGGGUCCCACUGGGCGUGCCAAAAUGUUGACCCUAGAAACUACAAAGCCUACGUGGCGCGCAGGCCGAGUAAUCUAUAAGCUAAUUACGUCCUUCGGUGAAUGCGGGGCGUGCCAACUCGUCGGCCGAGCUCGGCCGAGGAGUAAAUUUGUUGAUGUUGCGUUGGGUGCGCGGCUAACUUCUGCGUCUUGCGAUUACGGCCGAGAAAGGAACACGUCUCGGCCUCUUGGGCUCUCGAACCUGAAGACAAGGUUACUAUUCUUACGAAGUUCAAUCUCAAAUUCGGCUUUCAAUGUGCCGAAUGUAAUAACUUGUAACACCUCACUUCGUCGAGAAGGCUGAUGAGAUGACCUCGACCAAUAAGGAUUCGGAAACCCUUCUCGAUCGAGACUUGGAUAGGUAAUCAACCGUCUUCGCCGCAGUGCUGUUGAUGCCAACGGAAGAUGCUGCGAGAUCGGCUGAUUCUACGGUGAUAGAGCUAUCUAUGCCAACUUAAGAUAUCACCGGUUGCUUUCACAGUGCUGUUGAUGCCAACGGAAGAUGUGUCAGCGAAAAAGAAGAAGAAAAAAUCUCAAGUUGUUGAGAGUUUGCGCAGGGCAAUUUUGUAUUGAUUUGCAGGCCUUUGAAUGACGCACAACUUCCUCUAUUUAUAGUACUGGAUCUUGAAUUCGAGUUAAAAUCCUACUCGGACUAGGUCUUCCUCUCCGGAUCAACACCACCUCGACCAGUCCUAUUUUCACUAGGAUUGUGAACCUAGUCCUUAACUGAGCCGGAUUCGCUUCUGGGUUACUGAUCCUGCCGAGACUCCCUAUUGUACUAGGACUUGACUUGCGUUAUGAUCUAACCGACCUACGCUUGGAAGCCCACGAGCUGAACGAUCCAUGGCCUUCUCGCCGCACGGCCUCCCGGGCCGAGAAUGAUCCUACCCUUGGCCCAAACUAUUAUUGGGCCCAAACAGUAGUACUACCGGGUACCCUGAAAAUUUUCUCUUAGAAAACAUGCUUCACAAUAAUUUGGUUUGUCAUUUACCUUCAAAACCAAACCCGACUGAAGAUACUUUACAGAAUCACUUUUGUUUUAUAUUGCUGAAAUAUUACUUAACCAUCCAAAUUUUCAUUGGUACAUGCACUUGUUCUUCUAUUCCUGUUAGUAGUGCUGGAGUUUUUAUCCAAAUUUCGAUAAAAAAACCGAUGUUGUCUUGUAUCUUUGGCACGAGAAAAUCUUAUGUGCCACAACAUAUGUAUACCUAUGUAUCUGCAUCCCAGUGACAGGGUAGAAUCUCUCAGCAUACAUAGCAAAUAAUGUAACGUUAAUAUGUUCAACCCGAAAUUAGUAUCUACACAAAAUUGAAGAUGGUGGCAGGCUAAACAUGUUUGCUAAUCCAUUGAACCAGUAACUUCUAGUAACGCAGUGCAUGUUUCUUGGUUGUCCAUAUGCAGAACAUCUAGACUUUUCUUACAAUUGAAAUUGAUUCACAAAUUUUUCUAAGUUUCCAGAUGACGAACCGCGUGCACCAGUGUCUUCCUCUGCCAAUUUCUUCCACUCC
rnacentral:lncRNA from 1 species